rfam:Acyrthosiphon pisum strain LSR1 Contig16131, whole genome shotgun sequence.
UCUCUGGUUGAUCCUGCCAGUAGUCAUAUGCUUGUCUCAAAGAUUAAGCCAUGCAUGUCUCAGUGCAAGCCGCAUUAAGGUGAAACCGCGAAAGGCUCAUUAAAUCAGUUGUGGUUCCUUAGAUCGUACCCAAGUUACUUGGAUAACUGUGGUAAUUCUAGAGCUAAUACAUGCCGACAGAGUUCCGACCGUCGCGGUGCCCUCGGGCGUCGCUCGCGGGAGGAACGCUUUUAUUAGAUCAAAACCGGCCCGUCGCGGCGCGCUUCGUGCGCGUCCCGAUCGCGGCCCGUGCAAAGACCUGGUGACUCUGAAUAACUUCGAGCUGAUCGCACGGUCUCCGUACCGGCGACGCAUCUUUCAAAUGUCUGCCUUAUCAACUGUCGAUGGUAGGUUUCAUGCCUACCAUGGUGGUAACGGGUAACGGGGAAUCAGGGUUCGAUUCCGGAGAGGGAGCCUGAGAAACGGCUACCACAUCCAAGGAAGGCAGCAGGCGCGCAAAUUACCCACUCCCGGAACGGGGAGGUAGUGACGAAAAAUAACGAUAUGGGACUCAUCCGAGGCCCCGUAAUCGGAAUGAGAACACUUUAAAACCUUUAAACGAGGAUCAAUUGGAGGGCAAGUCUGGUGCCAGCAGCCGCGGUAAUUCCAGCUCCAAUAGCGUAUAUUAAAGUUGUUGCGGUUAAAAAGCUCGUAGUCGGAUCUGUGUCUGGACGGUGCCGGACCACCCUGGCGGUCCGUCGUGUCGCUGCCGGCCGUGUCGCGGGACCACGUGUCCCGUCGGCGCGGUCGCCGUCGCGCUCGUCAGCCGUCUCGGGGUGUUAGUUACCGGCACGUCGGCUGGACGUAUUGUCGGCAGGCGGACACGUGUCUCGUGCUUCCGGCGCGCCGCGCAGCCACGCGCCACGCAGCCGUCGGUGUUCGACGACGGCGGCCGCCUACUCCAAUCUUGCUGCGCGGUGCUCUUCACCGAGUGCCGUCGGCGGGCCGACACGUUUACUUUGAACAAAUUAGAGUGCUCAAAGCAGGCUUGAAUCUGGCGGGCCGACUUCACGGCCGUCUCGUCAAAAGGCCCUGAAUACUGGUCGCAUGGAAUAAUGGAACAGGACCUCGGUCCCGCGCAUCUCCGCCCUUCGCGGGCGCGCGAAAUCGCCCUUCAGGGGGUUUCCGUGCGCGGGCCGCCGGGCCGCGGGCGCUAGUCACCCGCGCGUCCCGCCGGGCCUGUUUUCGGGACCGGAGGUAAUGAUCAACAGAGACGGGUGGGGGCAUUCGUACCGAGACGUUAGAGGUGAAAUUCUUGGAUCGUCUCGAGACGAACUGACGCGAAAGCAUUUGCCAAGUACGUUCUCGUAUGAUCAAGAACGAAAGUUAGAGGUUCGAAGGCGAUCAGAUACCGCCCUAGUUCUAACUGUAAACGAUGCCAGCUAGCGAUCCGCCGGCGUUUCAUUAACGACCCGGCGGGCAGCUUCCGGGAAACCGAAGCUUUUCGGUUCCGGGGGAAGUAUGAUUGCAAAGUUGAAACUUAAAGGAAUUGACGGAAGGGCACCACCAGGAGUGGAGCCUGCGGCUUAAUUUGACUCAACACGGGAAACCUCACCAGGCCCGGACACCGGAAAGAUUGACAGAUUGAGAGCUCUUUCUUGAUUCGGUGGGUGGUGGUGCAUGGCCGUUCUUAGUUGGUGGAGCGAUCUGUCUGGUUAAUUCCGAUAACGAACGAGACUCUGUCCUGCUAACUAGGCGGGUAAAGCCGGGUCGACGUGUGCACGGUGCUGGUGGUUACGGCCGUCAGUGUUCGCGUUCCCGUCAGCUCAGCCCGGUAUCCCUGAACGCGUUCGCCCGACGUCCACGGCGUUCGUCGGGCACGGCCGCGCCAUCCGCGUCCCGGCGUGCAGCUGGCGUAUGUCGGCCAGGGGGCAACCUCUGGUCGGCCUGCGUCCGUCGUGCGUCGUGCGUCGGGCUUCGUGGUAAAGCGCGCCGUGUUCGUGGACGUCGCCGGCGGAUCACGAUACGUUACUAGGGCUACCGCCGGCUCCCAGGAGCUUAAACUCUUCUUAGAGGGACAGGCGGCGGACGAAAAUAGCCGCACGAGACUGAGCGAUAACAGGUCUGUGAUGCCCUUAGAUGUUCUGGGCCGCACGCGCGCUACACUGAAGGAAUCAGCGUGUUUAACAAUCCUGGGCCGACAGGCUUCCGGGUAACCCGCUAACCUCCUUCGUGCUUAGGGAUCGUGGCUUGCAAUUUUUCCACGUGAACGAGGAAUUCCCAGUAAGCGCGAGUCAUCAGCUCGCGUUGAUUACGUCCCUGCCCUUUGUACACACCGCCCGUCGCUACUACCGAUUGAACGGUCGCAUUGAGGUCUUCGGAGUGGACGCGCGUUAUUCGGCCCCCUCGGGGGCUGGGUCGUCGCGCGAUCGCGAAGAUGACCGAAAUCGGCCGUUUAGAGGAAGUAAAAGUCGUAACAAGGUUUCCGUAGUGAACCUGCGGAAAGGAUCAUUA